rnacentral:tRNA from 1 species
GCCAGGGUAGCUCAGUCGGCAGAGCAACGCAAUGGUAAUGCGUAGGCCGCGGGUUCGAUUCCCGCCCCUGGCU